rnacentral:rRNA from 1 species
UACAGGGGGUGCAAGCGUUGUUCGGAAUUACUGGGCGUAAAGGGAGCGUAGGCGGAUCUACAAGACAGAGGUCAAAUCUCCGGGCUCAACCUGGAACUUGCCUUUGUGACUGUGGAUCUUGAGUAUGGUAGAGGUUGGCGGAAUUUCCGGUGUAGCGGUGGAAUGCGUAGAGAUCGGAAAGAACACCAGAGGCGAAGGCGGCCAACUGGACCAAUACUGACGCUGAGGCUCGAAAGCGUGGGGAGCAAACAGG